UACGAAGGGGCUAGCGUUGCUCGGAAUUACUGGGCGUAAAGCGCACGUAGGCGGCUUUCUAAGUCGGGGUGAAAUCCUGGAGCUCAACUCCAGAACUGCCUUCGAUACUGGAAGCUCGAGUCCGGGAGAGGUGAGUGGAACUGCGAGUGUAGAGGUGAAAUUCGUAGAUAUUCGCAAGAACACCAGUGGCGAAGGCGGCUCACUGGCCCGGUACUGACGCUGAGGUGCGAAAGCGUGGGGAGCAAACAGG
rnacentral:rRNA from 1 species